GUCGAGGCUAGAGGCACGCUUGGGUCCUGGUUAUUGCCUGGGGGUGUUAGGGGUCCUCGAAGAACACAGUGCUGGACCUUAUUCACCGGGCUGUGCGUCUCGUGGCACACUCAGUCACCAGGUUAGCGACAUGC
rnacentral:snoRNA from 1 species